rnacentral:rRNA from 1 species
UACGUAGGGUGCGAGCGUUGUCCGGAAUUAUUGGGCGUAAAGAGCUCGUAGGCGGUGUGUCGCGUCGGCCGUGAAAACCUGCAGCUUAACUGUGGGCUUGCGGUCGAUACGGGCAUCACUGGAGUUCGGCAGGGGAGACUGGAAUUCCUGGUGUAGCGGUGAAAUGCGCAGAUAUCAGGAGGAACACCGGUGGCGAAGGCGGGUCUCUGGGUAGUAACUGACGCUGAGGAACGAAAGCGUGGGUAGCGAACAGG